rnacentral:rRNA from 1 species
CAUGUCUUUUUGAUUAUAAUUUAAAGUCUAAUCUGCCCUAUGAAAAAAUUUAAAUGGCCGCGGUAUUUUGACCGUGCAAAGGUAGCAUAAUAAUUAGUUUUUUAAUUAAGAACUGGUAUGAAUGAUUGGACAAGAAAAAUACUGUCUCAAUUUAAUUUUAUUAGAAUUUUAUAUUUAAGUUAAAAAGCUUAAAUAUUUUUAAAAGACGAGAAGACCCUAUAGAGUUUAAUAUUAAAUAAAAUAAUUAUAAAAUUUAAAGUAUAAAUUUAUUUAUUUUAUUUAAUAUUUAGUUGGGGUGAUUGAAAAAUUAAAAAAACUUUUUUUAAAAAAUAACAUUAAUUUAUGAAUAAAUGAUCCAUAAUUUAUGAUUAUAAGAUUAAAUUACCUUAGGGAUAACAGCGUUAUUUUUUUUGAGAGUUCUUAUCGAAAAAAAAGUUUGCGACC